rnacentral:rRNA from 1 species
CCUACGGGUGGCAGCAGUCGAGAAUCAUUCACAAUGGGGGAAACCCUGAUGGUGCGACGCCGCGUGGGGGAAUGAAGGUCUUCGGAUUGUAAACCCCUGUCAUGUGGGAGCAAAUUAAAAAGAUAGUACCACAAGAGGAAGAGACGGCUAACUCUGUGCCAGCAGCCGCGGUAAUACAGAGGUCUCAAGCGUUGUUCGGAAUCACUGGGCGUAAAGUGUGCGUAGGCUGUUUCGUAAGUCGGGUGUGAAAGGCGCGGGCUCAACCCGCGGACGGCACAUGAUACUGCGAGACUAGAGUAAUGGAGGGGGAACCGGAAUUCUCGGUGUAGCAGUGAAAUGCGUAGAUAUCGGGAGGAACACUCGUGGCGAAGGCGGGUUCCUGGACAUUAACUGACGCUGAGGCACGAAGGCCAGGGGAGCGAAAGGGAUUAGAUACCCUUGUAGUC